UAAGCCAGUGUCCUACUUACAAGGGUGGA
rnacentral:piRNA from 1 species